GGCAAAGGGGCCGAGUGGUUAAGGCGACAGACUCGAACGAGCCCCGGUUUCCCCGGUUUCUCUUCGGCCAUCGGUUGGGUUCGCCCGCGUAGGUUCAAAUCCUGCCCUUGUCG